rnacentral:rRNA from 1 species
GAUGAACGCUGGCGGCGUGCCUAAUACAUGCAAGUCGAGCGAACAGACGAGGAGCUUGCUCCUCUGACGUUAGCGGCGGACGGGUGAGUAACACGUGGAUAACCUACCUAUAAGACUGGGAUAACUUCGGGAAACCGGAGCUAAUACCGGAUAAUAUAUUGAACCGCAUGGUUCAAUAGUGAAAGACGGUUUUGCUGCCACUUAUAGAUGGAUCCGCGCCGCAUUAGCUAGUUGGUAAGGUAACGGCUUACCAAGGCAACGAUGCGUAGCCGACCUGAGAGGGUGAUCGGCCACACUGGAACUGAGACACGGUCCAGACUCCUACGGGAGGCAGCAGUAGGGAAUCUUCCGCAAUGGGCGAAAGCCUGACGGAGCAACGCCGCGUGAGUGAUGAAGGUCUUCGGAUCGUAAAACUCUGUUAUUAGGGAAGAACAAAUGUGUAAGUAACUAUGCACGUCUUGACGGUACCUAAUCAGAAAGCCACGGCUAACUACGU